AGAGCGAACGCUGGCGGCAGGCCUAACACAUGCAAGUCGAGCGCCCCGCAAGGGGAGCGGCAGACGGGAGAGUAACACGUGGGAACGUGCCCUUUGGUUCGGAACAACACAGGGAAACUUGUGCUAAUACCGGAUAAGCCCUUACGGGGAAAGAUUUAUUGCCAAAGGAUCGGCCCGCGUCUGAUUAGCUUGUUGGUGAGGUAACGGCUCACCAAGGCUACGAUCAGUAGCUGGUCUGAGAGGAUGAUCAGCCUCACUGGGACUGAGACACGGCCCAGACUCCUACGGGAGGCAGCAGUGGGGAAUAUUGGACAAUGGGCGCAAGCCUGAUCCAGCCAUGCCGCGUGGAUGAUGAAGGCCUUAGGGGUUGUAAAGUCCUUUCGGCGGGGAAGAUAAUGACGGUACCCGCAGAAGAAGCCCCGGCUAACUUCGUGCCAGCAGCCGC
rnacentral:rRNA from 1 species